AUUACAGAGUUGCAAAACUCCCUAAACCAUUGUGAACGUUACCUAAACCGUUGCUUCGGCGGGCGGCCCGGGUCCUUCCCGGCGCCCCUCGGCCCUCGCGGGCGCCCGCCGGAGGAAAACCAAACUAUUGCAUUGUAUGGCCUCUCUGAGUCUUCUGUACUGAAUAAGUCAAAACUUUCAACAACGGAUCUCUUGGUUCUGGCAUCGAUGAAGAACGCAGCGAAAUGCGAUAAGUAAUGUGAAUUGCAGAAUUCAGUGAAUCAUCGAAUCUUUGAACGCACAUUGCGCCCGCCAGUAUUCUGGCGGGCAUGCCUGUUCGAGCGUCAUUUCAACCAUCAAGCCCCGGGCUUGUGUUGGGGACCUGCGGCUGCCGCAGGCCCUGAAAUGCAGUGGCGGGCUCGCUGUCACUCCGAGCGUAGUAGUUACAUCUCGCUCUGGGCGUGCUGCGGGUUCCGGCCGUUAAAAGCCUUAUUUACCCAAGGUUGACCUCGGAUCAGGUAGGAAGACCCGCUGAACUUAAGCAUAUCAAUAAGCGGAGGAAAAGAAACCAACAGGGAUUGCCCUAGUAACGGCGAGUGAAGCGGCAACAGCUCAAAUUUGAAAUCUGGCUUCGGCCCGAGUUGUAAUUUGCAGAGGAAGCUUUGGGCGCGGCACCGACUGAGUCCCCUGGAACGGGGCGCCAUAGAGGGUGAGAGCCCCGUAUAGUCGGACGCUAAGCCUGUGUAAAGCUCCUUCGACGAGUCGAGUAGUUUGGGAAUGCUGCUCAAAAUGGGAGGUAAAUUUCUUCUAAAGCUAAAUACCGGCCAGAGACCGAUAGCGCACAAGUAGAGUGAUCGAAAGAUGAAAAGCACUUUGAAAAGAGGGUUAAAUAGCACGUGAAAUUGUUGAAAGGGAAGCGCUUGUGACCAGACUUGCGCCUGGCUGAUCAUCCGGUGUUCUCACCGGUGCACUCUGCCAGGCUCAGGCCAGCAUCGGUUCUCGCGGGGGGAUAAAGGCCCUGGGAACGUAGCUCCUCCGGGAGUGUUAUAGCCCAGGGUGCAAUGCCCUCGCGGGGACCGAGGUUCGCGCAUCUGCAAGGAUG
rnacentral:ncRNA from 4 species